UACAGAGGGGGCAAGCGUUAUUCGGAAUUAUUGGGCGUAAAGGGCGCGUAGGCGGCUUUGCAAGUGACGGGUGAAAUCCCUCGGCUUAACCGAGGAACUGCCUGUCAAACUGCAUGGCUUGAGACCGGGAGAGGUGAGUGGAAUUCCCAGUGUAGCGGUGAAAUGCGCAGAUAUCAGGAAGAACACCCGUGGCGAAGGCGGCUCUCUGGGACGGUACUGACGCUGAGACGCGAAAGCGUGGGGAGCGAACAGG
rnacentral:rRNA from 1 species